rnacentral:lncRNA from 1 species
CUCCGUGCCAUUACUCAAAUUGAAGGCUUCACUAAUUUCUCUUCCCCAAAAAAAGAAGGAAAAGAGGGAGAAAAAAAAAGGACAAAAUGGGUUCAACCAGUUCAGAAACUCAAAUAAGUCCAGCCCAAGGCUCGGAUGAAGAGGCAAACCUCUUGGCCAUGCAAUUAACCAGUGCCUCAGUCUUGCCUAUGGUUCUCAAAUCAGCCAUUGAGCUUGAUCUUUUAGAGAUCAUAGCUAAAGCUGGGCCCGAUGCUUUCAUGUCUCCAAAAGACAUAGCUUCUCAGCUGCCCACAAAGAACCCAGAUGCCCAUAUCGUGCUUGAUCGUAUAUUGCGCCUUCUGGCGAGCUAUUCAGUCCUUAAUUGCUCUUUGCGCAAUCUCCCCGACGGCAAAGUUGAGAGGCUUUAUGGCCUUGCCCCCGUUUGUAAAUUCCUCACUAAAAAUGAAGAUGGUGUUACACUUUCCGAUCUUUGUCUCAUGAACCAAGACAAGGUUCUCAUGGAGAGCUGGUAAGUCAUUUUUAUUCCUUUUCUUUCUCUCUCUCUCUCUCUCUUUUAAGAACAGUUCAAAAAUUUAUCAAGUAAUAAUUUAAGACUAAUUUCUAUUCGAAUUAUUGAAUAAAAUAAAAGAUAAAAGAUAAAAGAUAAAAGAUAUGGCCUCUAUUGGGAGCUCUCCUCGAUGAGGAGAGCCCAACAUGGCCGUGAGUUCACCACAGCACAACUAAUGAAAGUCGCUUUUACUCAUCUCUAAUGUUCCAAUCUUUUCCUUGCGAUUAUUGAUGACCACUAAUAUUAAUUAUAUGUACAGAGUCUAAAUAUAUAUAUUUUGAUAUUCUGGUUGUAUGCAUUUUUAAGGUCCUGCUAAAUUACAGUUAUUAUAACUUACACUGGAUAUAAAAAUCAUACGAAUCCCAUCAUCUAUCAUAACAUUUUACAUGUUUUUAAAUGCAUUUUACAUGAUUUUAAAUGGGUUGUAAAUUAUAGUAGCUUUAAUUUAUCAAUUGCCGUAUUUUUAUCAUUUACGACAUGGCUUUCUUUUCACAUCAUCCGUUAGUUUUUAAAGUUUGAUCCCACAUAAUAUGACCUCAGAUUUUUUUUUUUAAUUUAAUAACAUUUUAAAGUUUCAUAAUGGUUCGUUUGACGACUUCGUCGGCUCGUAUCAUCCCUUGAUGCUUGCUAGUCAUUAUCAAAUACCUAACUCCAAUCAGCAAAAUCUAGAAUCUACGCAUCCCUAAUUUCUAAAAAAAAAUAUAUAUAUAUAUAGUAUUUACUAUACACGUGUAUUGUAUAUAGUACAAAAGGAGUGUUGGUGGGGGGUGGGGACCACCUGGUUCAGAUUUGGGCCCACCACUACACAGGCUUUCAGUCUUUCAUCACUGAAUUUUUAUUAUUUCGUUUUGUCUUCUCGCAAUAGAAUGCAUAUAAUUGUCAGCAUAUUCGUUCCAACCAAUUAUCAAAAGUAAACGAUAAAAAUGCUCUAAGAAAAUUGACAGCCGGACCCUACGGUUUUCUCAAAUGAACAAGCAAAGUCGCAAACCACAAAGUUUCUGUGGAGCGGUUAGGUAUUGAUUUUCAUCACUCAAUUUUAAAAAAACGUGUUUGGUAGGAUUUAAUAACAGCAUUUUUCUUUUCUGAAUGAAAACAAAUCAUAUUUAUUUUAUAAUACUAACAAAGAAAUUUAGAAAUAUAAAAUAUUUGUUCAUCACUUUAUUCAUGAGACCCACAUACUUUUAAAAUCAAAUUUUGGGUUCGGCACUAUUAUUAAUGCUCUUUUGCCUCUUUUUCUUUAUUUUUAUAUUUUCUUAUUUUUAAAAACUUCAAAUUGCACCUAUACUUAGUGAAAAGAUAAAAAAAAUUUGACAAUGGUUUGAUGAUUUUUGUUUUUUUUUUGUUUUCUUAACAAAAAUUAUAUAAUACUUUUUUCACUGCCUUCAAUGUUCAUAUAUUUUUAGAUAAAGAAUCAAAACAUUUUUAUUUUUAAAUACUAUUUAAAAAAUAAACUACCAAAACACAUUUUCAAAUUUACUAAGUAUUAAUCAUAUCUAUAUCAUAAAACAAAUACGAAGACAACAAUUAAAAAACAUUACCAAAUGCACCUUAAAAUAUUAUCUACACUCCUUUUUAUAUGCUAUUCCUUUUUGUAUAUUAUAUCUUUUAACGAGAAAAAUUAAAAAAAAGGAGAUUUUAGAGUUUUACAAUAAAUGUAAAUAUUAUUUUAAUAUUUUACUAUUAUAUUUUGAUUUAUAAACCAAAUAUUAAACAUAAAUAUUUGGUUUUACAUGUUUCGAUAUUUAGACAAUUUUCUAACAAAUUAAAAUUACCAAAUUAUUUUUGUUUAAUUUUCAAAAUAAUUUUAAAUUAUAGUUAUUUUAUUUAUUAUAUCUAUUUAAUAUAAUAAAUUUAUUUUUAUGUAACAUAAGAUGAUUGGUUGAAUGGUAAUAAUUAUUCUUAUUAUGAAAAUGUAGAGUUUUUUUUUUGUUAUUAGUCAAAGGGGUGAUAAUAGUUAAAAAAGAAAAGGUCUAUAUGAUUAUUUCUGAAAAUUUAGGGGAUUUUUGUUAAGUGUCAUUUUCCCUAAAUAAUAUCUUUUAAUUGAGCUUUCGUACAUUAAAAGGAUGUACCAUAUAAAGCUUUUCAUGGUCAAAUAAAGAAUAAUGAAUAAUAUACGCCAUUUUAAGAAAGGGCACUUUCAUCAAUUGGGUGGGUAUAUAUUUGUUUAUCAGAGUAAUUUAUAAGAAUAAAAUAAGAAGAGGAUAAUAUUAUUACAGGGUAAUUAUCCAGAUCCGGUAUUGGGAAUCAACAACAUUGCUCACAAAUUAAUUUGGCAUUGUUCAGGUACUACUUAAAAGAUGCAGUGCUUGAAGGUGGCAUUCCAUUUAACAAGGCCUAUGGGAUGAAUGCAUUCGAUUACCAUGGCAAAGAUCUAAGAUUCAACAAGAUUUUCAACAAUGGAAUGUCUUCUCAUUCUACCAUUACCAUGAAGAAAAUUCUUGAAAAUUACAAAGGGUUUGAAGGCCUCAACUCAGUUGUCGACGUUGGUGGUGGAAUUGGAGCCACACUUAACAUGAUUAUCUCCAAGUAUCCAUCCAUUAAAGGCAUUAACUUUGAUUUGCCACAUGUUAUUCAGGAUGCUCCAGCUUUUCCU